UGGGGAAUUUUGGACAAUGGGGGAAACCCUGAUCCAGCCAUCCCGCGUGUGCGAUGAAGGCCUUCGGGUUGUAAAGCACUUUUGGCAGGAAAGAAACGUCAUGGGUUAAUACCCCGUGAAACUGACGGUACCUGCAGAAUAAGCACCGGCUAACUACGUGCCAGCAGCCGCGGUAAUACGUAGGGUGCAAGCGUUAAUCGGAAUUACUGGGCGUAAAGCGUGCGCAGGCGGUUCGGAAAGAAAGAUGUGAAAUCCCAGAGCUCAACUUUGGAACUUCAUUUUUAACUACCGGGCUAGAGUGUGUCAGAGGGAGGUGGAAUUCCGCGUGUAGCAGUGAAAUGCGUAGAUAUGCGGAGGAACACCGAUGGCGAAGGCAGCCUCCUGGGAUAACACUGACGCUAAUGCACGAAAGCGUGGGGAGCAAACAGG
rnacentral:rRNA from 1 species